CUCUGACCCGGGAGCAGUACCUGAAGGUGCCUCCGGGGUGGUGCGCCGGAGACCUUCCGUGCUGGUUUGUGAUCGUGGACAAGUGGUGCGCUCCCGAGUGGGAGGAGAGUCACAAUGCUUGCCGGGAAAGGCGAUUGUUGAUGCCUGGCGCGCCACACCAUCAAGGCAACCUCAGCCUGACUGGUUUCGCGGCUAGAUGGUCGGCAAAAAAUGAUGGUCAGCCUCUCUCCCAGUUCAAGGCUUAUGCUUUGGCCCAUAAGUCAAAGGCGAUGCACGGGGUUGCUUAUGACCCGAAUGACCCGGCCUCAGCGUACACCAACGAGAACGUCAAGGCUCGCCUGGAUGGAUACACAUCGAUGGCAAAGGAGGUCCACGGCCCAGACUUUGAUCCGAGCAAGCAGGAUCUUGAUGGGGAAGUGGUUAUGAGGGCGGGAGGAGGCAAGAAACAUGGCCGGUUCUGGAUUGGCGACGGCACACUCGAUACGGCCACCACUCCCUCUCUCUCUCUCAGCUUAGAGCUCAGAGCACGAGCUCAGGUCCGGGUAUACGCCCUCGCCCAGAGCCUACACGGAUUGCGAUGAACGAAAUGCAGGCCCAGCUGGAUGAAGAAAGGAGGCUCCGGCACGAAUUAGAGAGAUCGUUCGAGGAGAGGAUGGCGGCAGAACGAUCCCAGUGGUAUGCGAUGAUGACGCCCCUUUAUGCUGCAAUGGGCCAAACUCCGCCACCGAUGCCAACCCCUUCUCGUUCACUUGCU